rnacentral:tRNA from 1 species
GCUCCCAUCGUCUAGCGGUCAGGACGUCAGAUUCUCAUUCUGAAAACACGGGUUCAAGUCCCGUUGGGAGUGCCA